UACGUAGGGUGCAAGCGUUGUUCCGGAAUUAUUGGGCGUAAAGAGCUCGUAGGCGGUUUGUCGCGUCUGCUGUGAAAACUCGGGGCUUAACCCCGGGCCUGCAGUGGGUACGGGCAGACUAGAGGUAGGUAGGGGAGAAUGGAAUUCCCGGUGUAGCGGUGAAAUGCGCAGAUAUCGGGAGGAACACCGGUGGCGAAGGCG
rnacentral:rRNA from 1 species